ensembl:lncRNA
GUGUGUGUGUGUGUCUGUGUGCUUGUUUGUGUAUUUUUGUGUGUGUGUGUGUGUGUGUCUGUGUGCAUUCAUGCGUGCAUAUGUGUGUGUGUUCUUUUGUAGAAGGAGGAGUUACAGAAAGAGGAAGAGAGACACAAAUUGGAGGAGGAGGAAAGACAGCAGAGGAAGAAGGUGAACACACACACACACACACACACACACACACACACACACUCACCCACACACACACACACACACACACACACACACACACACCACACACACACACACACACACACACACCACACACACACACACACACCACACACACACCACACACACACACACACACACACACACACACACACCACACACACAAACACACACUACCCAGCUCUACCACACACACACACACACACACACACACACACACACACACUCACCCACACACACACUCACACACACACACACACACACACACACACACACACACACACACUCACCCACACACACACUCACACACACACACACACACACACACACACACACACACACACACUUAUUGUUUCCUCUUAUUGUCCUACUCUUCCUUUGUUCUUCCUUUAUUCCAGAGAAUUGAGGAGAUCAUGAAACGCACUCGCAAAGCUGACGUUAAGAAAGAUGACACAUUUAUGGAACCCACAUCUCCAGUGAACCAGGACAGAUCACCCCCAGGUUUAGUUUGCCCUGAAGAACCUCAGGAGAAGUUGGCGGCCCCCCAUGGAGACAAGCAGCACCAGGAUGUCAUUGUUGUGACGGCUGCCAUGGCAACGCCUCCUAUGGCCAAUGAGAAGCUUCAACUGCAAGAGGCGAAGAGUCAGGUGAAUGACUCAAAGAUGGAGGAAGCGGGGUCAACUUCACCGAUGACAAACGGCAUCCAAGCAAAGCACCAAGUGACCUCGGAGGUGGGCAGAGGCCAGGCAACAGCCACGCCCACCCAGCCUCUCUGCCUAGCUGGCACGGAUCAGAUCAGUGAAUGCAAACCAAAGUCCACCCCCCACUCGACAACUACAAAUGGGAGCAUCACAUCACAGCCCCCUCCUCUGAAGACUAAGGACAGCCUCAUCACAUUGCACUCCCCUCCUCCAAAGAGCAAGGACAGCCCCAUCACAUCUAAGCCUCCUCCUCCGAAGACUAAGGACAGCCCGAACACAGAGCAGUCCCCUCCUCUGAAGAGCAAGGACAGCCUGCAAGAGGAAAGAAAACUGCAGCUUACCUCUUCAGCUCCUCAGACUCUCACUGACCAGGCUACUGUUUCGCCAGCGCAUACGGCUACUGCGGUUACGGUUACUUCAGCAAGGACGAGUAAAGAUGCAGUCAUCGCCACGGCAAACCAUUUGGACAGAAAAGAUAAGGGGGUGGGGCUUGGGGCCUCAGUGUUGCCACGGCAACCCUCUAGUGUCCAGCUGGAGGGAGUCGCAGGGGCCCCAAAAGAGGAGGAGGAGGCCCAGUCCAUGGAUGUGAGCCCCGUCUCUAAGGAUGACCUAGUCUCCAUCCCAGAAUUCUCUCCUCUGCAAGAAGAGGCGUUACUAACCCAGACUAACUCCGCCCACUCUUCCUGUACAAGCUCCUCCCCUACGAGAGCCCUUCUGGAUCUUCUGGACCUCACUGGACACGUGGCGUAUCCAUGCCCUGUUGCCACGGCAACCGCUGCUUUGUCAUCAUCCUCCUCUACUAUCUCCGUGGUAACCAAUCAGCCCGGUGACUGUAACCGCAACCCUGUGACGUCCUCAGUGACAUUGUUGUCUUCGACCAGUGAUCAGAAGCAUCAGAAUCAAUGUCGACCAAUCCCAUCACCGAUAAAGCCCGUUACCAUGACCCUACCUGCUGUGGUCAUAAAGGACGGGACAACUACAGCAUUGCAAGGCAGAGGCAAAGUGGAUGCUUGGUAA